CCUACGGGUGGCAGCAGUGGGGAAUAUUGCACAAUGGGGGAAACCCUGAUGCAGCGACGCCGCGUGAGUGAAGAAGUAUUUCGGUAUGUAAAGCUCUAUCAGCAGGGAAGAAGCAAGACGGUACCUGACUAAGAAGCACCGGCUAACUACGUGCCAGCAGCCGCGGUAAUACGUAGGGGGCAAGCGUUAUCCGGAUUUACUGGGUGUAAAGGGAGCGUAGACGGUAUGGCAAGUCUGAAGUGAAAGCCCAGGGCUUAACCCUGGGACUGCUUUGGAAACUGGGUGUCUUGAGUGAUGGAGAGGCAGGCGGAAUUCCCAGUGUAGCGGUGAAAUGCGUAGAUAUUGGGAGGAACACCAGUGGCGAAGGCGGCCUGCUGGACAUUAACUGACGCUGAGGCGCGAAAGCGUGGGGAGCAAACAGGAUUAGAUACCCUUGUAGUC
rnacentral:rRNA from 1 species